rnacentral:rRNA from 1 species
AUGUCUUCUUCUUCCUCUAACAAUAUGGAAGAGGAUGCUUGGUUGAUGAAGAUUGAGCUGAAGACGGAUGAGCCCGUUGGAGCAGCCAAUGAGGACAAGAACAAGGAGGCCACUGGAGAUAAGGUGUCAGCGAUCGAGCAAGCCCUGCCUACCGAUGAGGAAGAGGAAGAUAUCUUAAACCUUAUUAUGCUCAUCUUACCCCCACUGAGAUUGCAACCUUUAGAAUCAUUGAAACGGUUUGUGUGCAAAACAAGUACCUCACUCGUGAAAAUAUUCUGCAUCAAGAGCACAUCACCUCCCUCCGGAGCGUCAUCCGUAGAUUGGAGAAUCUCUUGGUCCUUAAGGACCGGGUCGCUGCUACUUCAUCACCACCACCUCCUUCUUCGUCACCAAAACAAAAUUGAGCAUCGGGUAUGGGCACUCCCCUUGGCUUUCGCCAAGCUUGGGGGAGGUGCCCCGGUAUCGUAUCACCUCCACUAUCUUUUGCCAUUACUUUUCUUAUUAGUUCGAUCCAUAGUUAUCUUUUGCUUUAGAUGA